rnacentral:lncRNA from 1 species
CCUUGACCUCAGUCAAGGUGUGUCAUUUUUUGACCAAAAAAAGUUUUUUAAUUUAUUAGUUUUAUUUAGCAUUCUUCAAAGUUGAAAGACUCAAUUAAUGUACCUAAAUGUUAGUACCGAAAUGUAUUAUAUUGAAUUAAUAUACCUAAAUGUUUGUAUCAAAAUAUAUAUACUGAAAUGUGUGUACCUAAAUGUAUGCACCAAAAUAUAUUAUAUUGAAUUAAUAUACCUAAAUGUUUGUAUCAAAAUAUAUAUACUGAAAUGUGUGUACCUAAAUGUAUGCACCGAAAUGUAUUAUAAUGAAUUUGAUAUAUCUAAAUGAAGAAAACAAGGUAUAUCUAAAUAUAUUGUAUAACAUAAAUUAGUUUAUCUAAGAUUUACAACAAAAUAUAUUACGAUGAAUGAAAUAAAAAUUAUAAUUAUAAUGAAAUAUAAUUAAUAUAUUAAAGUUAGGAAGAAAAAGAGAAAUAAUUAAAACAUCAAAAUUAAUUAAUAGAUGAGGUGAUUAAUGUAUCAAGGGACUAAAAUUAGAUUUUGAUCUUACUUAUGGUUUUAAUCUAAAUGUCAUCUUUGCUAAUUAUUAAAAUAAAGUUUCCUAAUAUAAAAACUACAAAAAAAAUUGUUUUAAUUUUUUAUUUUCAGUAUUUAUACCAUGGAAAUUUUCAGUUUCUAAAAAAUUGACAUACAUUAUUUGGUGGGAAAGUAAACGGCCAAAAGAACUAGAUUCCAAGCAAGUUCCAUGUCCUUUUACAAACAGUCAGAUUCUUCUUCUAUUUAAGGCUAAAUAGCUAAAAUGGUCCCUAAGAUUUGCACAACUUAUCACUUUGGUCCCUAACAUUUCAAAUCGAUAAAAGUGGUCCCUGAGAUUGUCCACCAUCCAUCAUUUUAAUCAUUCCGUUAAAAACUCCGUUAAGUGUCCAGGAGCUCUUGGCCGGAAGUUUGAGCAAUUUUCAAAGCUUCGUAACUCAAUCGUUUCUUAACCAAAUUCGACCCAUAAUAUAUCAAAAUGAAGAUAGGAAAGUGUAGAAUACGAUUAUACCUAUUUAGAAGCCCAAUGGAUGCCAGAGAUGCCAGAAAAUAGCCUCAAAGUUGACUGGUCCGAGGGAAAACUGGAAAACUCGCCGGAAACUGAGUAAACUUUAAACGUUCAUAACUUCUUCAAUACUCAACGAAAUCAAGUGAUUCAAAAA